rnacentral:rRNA from 1 species
AUUGAACGCUGGCGGCAUGCCUUACACAUGCAAGUCGAACGGUAACGGGCCUUCGGGUGCCGACGAGUGGCGAACGGGUGAGUAAUACAUCGGAACGUGCCCGAUCGUGGGGGAUAACGAGGCGAAAGCUUUGCUAAUACCGCAUACGAUCUACGGAUGAAAGCAGGGGACCGCAAGGCCUUGCGCGGACGGAGCGGCCGGUGGCAGAUUAGGUGGUUGGUGGGAUAGACGCUUACCAAGCCGACGAUGGGUAGCUGGCCGGAGAGGACGAACGGCCACAGUGGGAAGGAGAUACGGGACAGACGCCUACGGGAGGAAGAAGUGGGGAAUAUGGCAAAAUGGGCGCAAGCCGGAUGAAGCAACGCUGCGUGUGGGAUGACGGACUUGGGGUGGGAAAACGCGGUCAGCAGGGAAGAAGCGUGUUGUGACGGGACCUGCAGAAGAAGCAAAGGCUAACUACGUG